rnacentral:rRNA from 1 species
CACGCUGUAAACGAUGAUCACUCGUUGUUGGCGAUAUACCGUCAGCGACUGAGCGAAAGCAAUAAGUGAUCCACCUGGGGAGUACGGCGGCAACGCUGAAACUCAAAGGAAUUGACGGGGGCCCGCACAAGCGGAGGAACAUGUGGUUUAAUUCGAUGAUACGCGAGGAACCUUACCUGGGCUUGAAAGGGGAUCGAUCUCCCGGGAAACCGGGAUUCUCUUCGGAGCGAUCUCCUAGGUGCUGCAUGGUUGUCGUCAGCUCGUGCCGUGAGGUGUCGGGUUAAGUCCCGCAACGAGCGCAACCCUUGCCAAUAGUUGCUACGAAAGGGCACUCUAUUGGGACUGCCGGUGACAAACCG